AGUGAACGCUGGCGGUAGGCCUAACACAUGCAAGUCGAACGGCAGCACAGUAAGAGCUUGCUCUUACGGGUGGCGAGUGGCGGACGGGUGAGGCAUACAUCGGAAUCUACUUUUUCGUGGGGGAUAACGUAGGGAAACUUACGCUAAUACCGCAUAUGACCUACGGGUGAAAGCAGGGGAUCUUCGGACCUUGCGCGAUUGAAUGAGCCGAUGUCGGAUUAGCUAGUUGGCGGGGUAAAGGCCCACCAAGGCGACGAUCCGUAGCUGGUCUGAGAGGAUGAUCAGCCACACUGGAACUGAGACACGGUCCAGACUCCUACGGGAGGCAGCAGUGGGGAAUAUUGGACAAUGGGCGCAAGCCUGAUCCAGCCAUACCGCGUGGGUGAAGAAGGUCUUCGGGUUGUAAAGCCCUUUUGUUGGGAAAGAAAAGCAGCAGGUUAAUACCCCGCUGUUCUGACGGUACCCAAAGAAUAAGCACCGGCUAACUUCGUG
rnacentral:rRNA from 1 species